UCAAUCAUCAUCAAACUUGGUCAGGAUGCUUAUCUAGUUGAAAGCUCGGAUGAGUUCGAACAUGGGUCAUCUCGGAUGAAAAAAACUAGGUCACAAGAGCUAAAAAUAGAAAAACCUUGUGAACACUCUAGAGGUCACAUUUUUGACCCAAUCAUCAUCAAACUUGGUCAGGAUGUUUGUCUAGGUGAUAGCUUGGAUGAGUUCGAACAUGGGUCAUCUCGGAUGAAAAAGUAGGUCACAGGAGCUAUAAAUAGAAAAACCUUGUGAACACUCUAGUGGUCACAUUUUGAACCAAUCAUCAUCAAACUUGGUCAGAAUGCUUGUCUAGUCAAUUGCUUGGAUGAGUUCGAACAUGGGUCAUCUCUGAUGAAAAACUAGGUCACAGGAGCUAAAAAUAGAAAAACCUUGUGAACACUCUAGUGGUCACAUUUUUGACCCAAUCAUCAUCAAACUUUGUCAGGAUGCUUGUUUAGAUAUUAGCUCGGAUGAGUUCGAAUAUGGGUCAUCUCGGAUGAAAAACUAGGUCACCGGAGCUAUAAAUAGAAAAACCUUGUGAACACUCUAGUGGUCACAUUUUUGCAUCAAUCAUCAUCAAACUUGGUCAGGAUGCUUAUCUAGUUGAUAGCUUGGAUGAGUUCGAACAUGGGUCAUCUCGGAUGAAAAAGUAGGUCACCAGAGCUAAAAAUGAGAAAACCUUGUUAACACUUUAGCGGUCACAUUUUUGCAUCAAUCAUCAUCAAACUUGAUCAAGAUGCUUGUCUAGGUGAUAGCUCGGAUGAGUUCGAACAUGGGUCAUCUCGGAUGAAAAACUAGGUCACAGGAGCUAAAAAUAGAAAAACCUUGUUAACACUCUAGUGGUCACAAUUUUGACUCAAUUGUCAUCAAACUUGGUCAGGAAACUUGUCUAGGUCAUUGCUGGCAAUAAAUCGAACAUGGGACAUUUCGGAUGAAAAACUAGGUCACAGGAGCUAAAAUAGAAAAAAUCUUGUUAACACUCUAGUGGCUACUGUUGUGAUCCAAAUAUUCUGUUAAUUGGUCUGAAAGUUUGUUUUGAUGAUUUCUAAGUCAAGAUCGAACAUGGGUCAUCUUGGAUGAAAAACUAGGUCACACCGCCCAAAUAUGGAAAAACCUUGUUAACAUUCUAGUGGUCACAUUUUCGACUCAAUUAUCAUCAAACUUGGUCAGGAUGUUUGUCUAGGUAAUUGCUUGGAUGAGUUCGAAAUCGCAUGUGAAACUAGGUCACCGGAGCUAAAAAUAGAAAAAUCUUGUUAACACUCUAGUUGCUACUGUUUUGAUCCAAGUAUCCUGGAAAUUGGUCUGAAAGUUUGUUUUGAUGAUUUCUAGGUCAAGUUUGAAUAUGUGUCACCUGGGUAAAAAACUAGGUCGCACUGCUCAAAUAUGGAAAAUCCUUGUUAACACUGUAGUGGUCACAUUUUUGACUCACCUGUCAUGAGACUUGGUCAGAAUGCUUGUCUAGGUAAUUGUUUGGAUGAGUUUGAUAAUUCAGGUGAGCGAUCUAGGGCCAUCAUGGCCCUCUUGUUUAAUAACUCAGACAUGGUGUUUUGAAGGUACUGGAAACUUCUGAUAUUUCUCUGGCAUUGUAAUUCUUUCUUGUUUGUGUGUAGGAAAUGAGAAGUAUUUUUGGGGUUUUGCCCGAAACUAAGCAUUUUGGUAGCUUUGUAUGUGUUUGUGACUCUCCGAUUAUGGAGGUGAAAAAGUUAAAAAUCAAGCCUUGACAGUUGGCGCCAAACAAGUAAGAAAUUUCGGAUAAAUUUUAUGAAAAAUCUAAACAUAUGAGAGACACUUUAUUGGUCAUUUUUGAAAAUGCCAUAGGUUGCACUGCGUGUUAGUGAUAUUUUUAAAGGAAUCAGACGGUUUCUGGAAUAUGCUGUACCUUCAUGAAGAUUGCCCAUAUUGGUAUAUUUUAGGUGUGAUUUUGGCUGGUUGGGGGGUAAAUAUAAAUUGCUGUCAGUCAUUUUUUCAAGGAGCAAUGCAUGCAAACUAUCAUUUUCUUCAAUGUAUGUCAUAUAUCAUUGAAUAAUGCUGUGCAACUGGUUAUCUGCCUGUGAAACAGAUUUUGAAAUAUUUGGAAUUGUGUUUCUGGUCACACUGAAAUACAAAAUUGUUCAUUUUUAGGUCCCCUGCCCCCUUAUACUAGUGAUUGCACCAUCUCGGCAGUGAAUAAAAACAAUGAUUUUGAUUGGCUAAUAAAAAUAAAACCUUUCUUGAUACUGAUUCUAACAAAAUGUUAUAAGCGUCUGUUACUUAAAGUUAUUUCUCUUAUGAACUACUGUGAAUAGAUUAACAAAUUUCAAAUAUAAACACUUUGAAGGAUAUUCUAAAGUUAUACAGAUUUGAAAGUAAGAAUGAUUAAAAUACCUACUCUUUAUAUCAUGAUAAAUUUAUACAUGAAUUGCUAUAUAUUUUUAAUGCAAAUGGCGAAUUUAUAAAAUGGUAAUCAAGUGAAGUAUAAGGUACAUUUCCGGCACAAUUCUAUUGUUAUUCAAAUAAAAUGUCAGAGAAAGGAUUUACCUAUAUCGCUCAUAUUCACGACCUCUUAAUUAAGAAUUCGGUUCUUUAUAUGCCAGCAACUUCACCGUGUAUUUUAUGAGAAACACGCUUAUCAUUUUAGAUGAAAGUUCCUAUGUCAGGAUGUCAGAAUGAAAUACAUAGACGAAGCUUUUAAGAAAUUUUACUUCUCACCUGUGCAUGGCUUAUUUUUAUGCCCCCGCCAUAUAAUGGCUGGAGCAUAUAGUGUUACCCUGUUCCGUCAAUCUGUCAUUCCGUCAUCAUCAGUUUCCGUUCACUAUCUUAGUAACAGUUGCACACAUUCAACUCAAAUUUCAUAUAUGGAUAUAUCAUGAGAAAAUACAGGUCAAGUUCGAAUUUGGUCAUGGUUCGAUGAUUUUUGGCAGAGUUAUGUCCCUUUCACUUUGAAAAUAAUAUGAAAUUUUCAGUUUCCGUUCAUUAUCUCCUCUAGGUUAUUACAAAUUCAACUCAAAUUUGACAUAUGGAUACGUCAAAGAAAUGGGCAGGUCAAGUUUGCAUUUUGUCAUGGUUCGAUGAUUUUUGGCAGAGUUAUGCCCCUUUAACUUUGAAAAAAGGAAAUUGUCAGUUCCCAUUCAUUAUCUCCCCAACAGUUGUACAUAUUCAACUCAAAUUAAAGAUAUAGAUAUGUCAUAAGCAUGCAUUGGUCAUUUUCGAAUUUGGUCAUGGUUUGAUGAUAGCUGACAGAGUUAUCCCUCUUGAACUUUGGAAAAAAUAUCAGAAAUGUUAAGUUUCUAUUCAUUAUCUCCCCAAUGGUUGUACACAUUCAACUCAAAUUUGAAAGUUAUCUCUCUUGAAUGUUGGAAAAAUUUUGAAUUUUCAGUUUCAGCACUCAUACUUUUGUGGAAAUGUAUGUAGCCAUUAUUUUCGCUACAAAUAUGCAAUAUGCAAUUUACAAAAGGUUAACACUGAAUAGUUGGUUUGUGUUAAUAUAGAAUAGUUUUAAGGGCUUUAACUUGAAAUAAAAAAAAUAAUUUGUGCAAACAAAUUUGGAACUAAAUAUUAGAACAUAUGAAAUUUUGGCUGCAUGCGGGGGCAUCUGUGGCGUGACGCUACAUUUCUAGUUUAAAAUAUAGUUCCUAAACUUUUAAUAUAUGAUCCUAUAAAUUUGAUAAGAAUGGUAUUCCUUUUUCUCUAACUCCUCUACCACUUGCACAUCAAUCUUGCAUUUCCUACACAAAAUGCACAUGCAUAAGAACUCUUACCUUGCUAUGGGAUGACAUUUAUUAUGUUGCUAUUAUAAUAAGAAAAUUACAUGUGACUUAUAAAAUUUCUUCAAUAAACAAAUUGUGGCAGCCAUUUUGGGCGCCAUCUUGGAUUUCUAAGCCAGCACCACACACAAAAAAAUUAUGCCACAAUUUUGUGAUAUAAAAGACAUAAUAAUUAUGCGAUCAUUUUGGUAUAAAACACAAUUUGUUCUACUGUAAUGAAAAUUUCACAUAGAUUCAGCACCAAUUGUGACCAUACUAUAUGGGAUAAAGUUCAUCGUACUGUAAAAAAAUUUCCUUUAUUUUUUUUCUAUUUCAAAGAUUUGGUAAGAAGUUUCCAAGACUUGGUAAGAAGGACAUUGAACUAGACUCAAGUUCAGAAGAGGAAGAGGUCUUCAACAGAUCUAUCAUUGACAAUAACAAUAACAGUUAUGGAAACUCUCCUUCAUCGACACCGAUUUCAACGCCAACAAAAAUGAAAGUAAGGAAGCCGCUUUUACAAUGAUGAAUCAUUGAGAUGUAGUCAAGCUAGAACAAUGUGAUCAAAAUAAUGACAAUGUUCAUCUAAGACUGUGAUAUCAUAACGAAUGUGAUUUAUUGUAUCUUUUUACUUUUACAUUAUUUGCUUCUUCUAUAAUUUGUUCUUCAGAUGCAUUAAUAAAUGUUUACAACCUCAAAA